rnacentral:rRNA from 1 species
AAUGAACGCUGGCGGCAGGCCUAACACAUGCAAGUCGAACGAGUGGCGGACGGGUGAGUAAUGUCUGGGAAACUGCCUGAUGGAGGGGGAUAAGUACUGGAAACGGUAGCUAAUACCGCAUACCAUCGGAUGUGCCCAGAUGGGAUUAGCUACUAGGUGGGGUAAAGGCUCACCUAGGCGACGCUCCCUAGCAGGUCUGAGAGGAGGACCAGCCACACUGGAACGGAGAAACGGUCCAGACUCCUACGGGAGGCAGCAGUGGGGAAUAUUGCAAAAUGGGCGCAAGCCUGAUGCAGCCAUGCCGCGUGUAUGAAGAGGGCCUUCGGGUUGUAAAGUACUUUCAGCGGGGAGGCGUUACCCGCAGAAGAAGCACCGGCUAACUCCGUGCCAGCCGCCGCGGUAAUUC